AUUGAACGCUGGAGGCAUGCCUUACGCAUGCAAGUCGAACGGCAGCGGGGGAGAAGCUUGCUUUUCCUGCCGGCGAGUGGCGAACGGGUGAGUAAUACAUCGGAACGUGCCCUGUAGUGGGGGAUCACUAGUCGAAAGAUUAGCUAAUACCGCAUACGACCUGAGGGUGAAAGUGGGGGACCGUAAGACCUCAUGCUAUAGGAGCGGCCGAUGUCUGAUUAGCUAGUUGGUGGGGUAAAGGCCUACCAAGGCGACGAUCAGUAGCUGGUCUGAGAGGACGAUCAGCCACACUGGGACGGAGACACGGCCCAGACUCCUACGGGAGGCAGCAGUGGGGAAUUUUGGACAAUGGGCGAAAGCCUGAUCCAGCAAUGCCGCGUGUGUGAAGAAGGCCUUCGGGUUGUAAAGCACUUUUGUCCGGAAAGAAAUGGCUCUGGUUAAUACCUGGGGUCGAUGACGGUACCGGAAGAAUAAGGACCGGCUAACUACGUGCCAGCCGCCGCCGUAA
rnacentral:rRNA from 1 species